rnacentral:snRNA from 1 species
AUACUUACCUGACAGGGGAGACACCAUGAUCACGAAGGUGGUUUUCCCAGGGCGAGGCUUAUCCAUUGCACUCUGGACAUGCUGACCCCUGCGAUUUCCCCAAAUGUGGGAAACUCGGCUGCAUAAUUUGUGGUAGUGGGGGGCUGCGUUCGUGCUGUUCCCUA